GAAUAUUGGGCAAUGGGCGCAAGCCUGACCCAGCCAUGCCGCGUGAGUGAUGAAGGCCUUCGGGUCGUAAAGCUCUGUGGGGCGGGAAGAAAAUAACUUGGCUAAUAUCCAAGGGAAUCUACGGUACCUCCUUAGCAAGCACCGGCCAACUCCGUGCCAGCAGCCGCGGUAAUACGGAGGGUGCAAACGUUGCUCGGAAUCAUUGGGCGUAAAGCGCACGUAGGCGGUUCGUUAAGUCGGAUGUGAAAGCCCUGGGCUCAACCCAGGAAGAGCAUUCGAAACUGGCGGACUUGAGUAUGGAAGAGGGUCGCGGAAUUCCCGGUGUAGAGGUGAAAUUCGUAGAUAUCGGGAGGAACACCAGUGGCGAAGGCGGCGACCUGGGCCAAUACUGACGCUGAGGUGCGAAAGCGUGGGGAGCAAAC
rnacentral:rRNA from 1 species